CAGCAGCCGCGGUAAUACAGAGGGUGCGAGCGUUAAUCGGAUUUACUGGGCGUAAAGCGUGCGUAGGCGGCUUCUUAAGUCGGAUGUGAAAUCACUGAGCUUAACUUAGGAAUUGCAUUCGAUACUGGGAAGCUAGAGUAUGGGAGAGGAUGGUAGAAUUCCAGGUGUAGCGGUGAAAUGCGUAGAGAUCUGGAGGAAUACCGAUGGCGAAGGCAGCCAUCUGGCCUAAUACUGACGCUGAGGUACGAAAGCAUGGGGAGCAAACAGGAUUAGAGACCCCUGUAGUCCCUGUCUCUUAUAC
rnacentral:rRNA from 1 species